UACAGAGGGGGCAAGCGUUAUUCGGAAUUAUUGGGCGUAAAGGGCGCGUAGGCGGCUUUGCAAGUGACGGGUGAAAUCCCUCGGCUUAACCGAGGAACUGCCUGUCAGACUGCAUUGCCUGAGUCCGGGAGAGGUGAGUGGAAUUCCCAGUGUAGCGGUGAAAUGCGUAGAUAUUGGGAGGAACACCAGUGGCGAAGGCGGCUCACUGGACCGGAACUGACGCUGAGGCGCGAAAGCGUGGGGAGCAAACAGG
rnacentral:rRNA from 1 species